rnacentral:sRNA from 12 species
CGUUACGAGGUUACCUCUGUCAUUAUCUUCAACUUAUGUAGAUAAUAGAAUGUAGCUGUUAA